CGGAUGAACGCUAGCUACAGGCUUAACACAUGCAAGUCGAGCGGUUUGUGCUUUUGCACAUUCAGCGGCAGACGGGUGAGUAACACGUAUCUAACCUUCCCCUUACUUGGGCAUAGCCUCUGGAAACGGAGAUUAAUUUCCGAUGUGGUGUACAUUUCGCAUGUUUUGCGCACCAAAGAUUUAUCGGUAAGGGAUGGGGAUGCGCUCCAUUAGGUAGUAGGUAGGGUAAUGGCCUACCUAGCCUAUGAUGGAUAGGGGUUCUGAGAGGAAGGUCCCCCACAUUGGAACUGCGACACGGUCCAAACUCCUACGGGAGGCAGCAGUGAGGAAUAUUGGUCAAUGGCCGGAAGGCUGAACCAGCCAAGUAGCGUGCAGGAAGACUGCCUUAUGGGUUGUAAACUGCUUUUUUACGGGAAUAAUUAUGAUCACGUGUGAUUAUUUGCAUGUACCGUAAGAAUAAGGAUCGGCUAACUCCGUG
rnacentral:rRNA from 1 species